rnacentral:rRNA from 1 species
UACGUAGGGUGCAAGCGUUGUCCGGAAUUAUUGGGCGUAAAGAGCUCGUAGGCGGUGUGUCACGUCGAUCGUGAAAACUUUCAGCUUAACUGGGAGCUUGCGGUCGAUACGGGCAUCACUGGAGUUCGGCAGGGGAGACUGGAAUUCAAGGUGUAGCGGUGAAAUGCGCAGAUAUCUUGAGGAACACCGGUGGCGAAGGCGGGUCUCUGGGCCGAUACUGACGCUGAGGAGCGAAAGCGUGGGGAGCGAACAGG